UACAGAGGGUGCAAGCGUUGUUCGGAAUUAUUGGGCGUAAAGCGCGUGUAGGCGGCUUGGCAAGUCGGGUGUGAAAGCCCUCAGCUCAACUGAGGAAGUGCGCCCGAAACUGCUGUGCUUGAGUGCCGGAGAGGGUGGCGGAAUUCCCCAAGUAGAGGUGAAAUUCGUAGAUAUGGGGAGGAACACCGGUGGCGAAGGCGGCCACCUGGACGGUAACUGACGCUGAGACGCGAAAGCGUGGGGAGCAAACAGG
rnacentral:rRNA from 1 species